AUUCUUACCAGGCAGGGGAGAUGCCAUGAUCAUGAAGGUGGUUUUUCCAGGGUGAGGCUCAUCCAUUGCAUUCCGUAGGUGUGCUUCCCACUGUGAUUUCCCCAAAUGCGGGAAACUCGACUGCAUAAUGUGUGGUAGUGAGGAACUGUAUUCAUGCUUUCCCCUG